CUUUUAUGGUGAUUGUAAGUCCCUAUUCUCUUGAAGACAACCCCACCUGUCUAGGGCCGUUCUCUCAUCUCAUCUUCUGAAGAUAAUUUCAUAAACAUUUAUUAACUACUGGAAAUGUGUCACAGAGUACUGGUCAACAAGGGGGCAAAGAUAUGUAAGAAAGACACAUUAUUAUUUUUAAUGACUGUAUAAUAUUAUAUGGUAUUACUAGAUAUG